AGCGCGUUCGGCUGUUAACCGAGAGGAUGGUGGUUCGAGCCCACCCAGGGACG
rnacentral:tRNA from 1 species